rnacentral:rRNA from 1 species
GACGAACGCUGGCGGCGUGCCUAAUACAUGCAAGUAGAACGCUGAAGGAGGAGCUUGCUCUUCUGGAUGAGUUGCGAACGGGUGAGUAACGCGUAGGUAACCUGCCUGGUAGCGGGGGAUAACUAUUGCAAACGAUAGCUAAUACCGCAUAACAGUAGAUGUUGCAUGACAUUUGCUUAAAAGGUGCAAUUGCACCACUACCAGAUGGACCUGCGUUGUAUUAGCUAGUUGGUGGGGUAACGGCUCACCAAGGCGACGAUACAUAGCCGACCUGAGAGGGUGAUCGGCCACACUGGGACUGAGACACGGCCCAGACUCCUACGGGAGGCAGCAGUAGGGAAUCUUCGGCAAUGGACGGAAGUCUGACCGAGCAACGCCGCGUGAGUGAAGAAGGUUUUCGGAUCGUAAAGCUCUGUUGUAAGAGAAGAACGAGUGUGAGAGUGGAAAGUUCACACUGUGACGGUAUCUUAACAGAAAGGGACGGCUAACUACGUG